GUGGGGAAUUUUGGACAAUGGGCGCAAGCCUGAUCCAGCAAUGCCGCGUGCAGGAAGAAGGCCUUCGGGUUGUAAACUGCUUUUGUACGGAACGAAACGGUCCGGGUUAAUACCCUGGGCUAAUGACGGUACCGUAAGAAUAAGCACCGGCUAACUACGUGCCAGCAGCCGCGGUAAUACGUAGGUUGCAAGCGUUAAUCGGAAUUACUGGGCGUAAAGCGUGCGCAGGCGGUUAUGUAAGACAGAGGUGAAAUCCCCGGGCUCAACCUGGGAACUGGCUUUGUGACUGCAUAGCUGGAGUGCGGCAGAGGGGGAUGGAAUUCCGCGUGUAGCAGUGAAAUGCGUAGAUAUGCGGAGGAACACCGAUGGCGAAGGCAAUCCCCUGGGCCUGCACUGACGCUCAUGCACGAAAGCGUGGGGAGCAAACAGGAUUAGAUACCCGUGUAGUCC
rnacentral:rRNA from 1 species